rnacentral:rRNA from 1 species
AUUGAACGCUGGCGGCAGGCUUAACACAUGCAAGUCGAGCGGGGUGAUGGUGCUUGCACUAUCACUUAGCGGCGGACGGGUGAGUAAUGCUUAGGAAUCUGCCUAUUAGUGGGGGACAACAUCUCGAAAGGGAUGCUAAUACCGCAUACGUCCUACGGGAGAAAGCAGGGGAUCACUUGUGACCUUGCGCUAAUAGAUGAGCCUAAGUCGGAUUAGCUAGUUGGUGGGGUAAAGGCCUACCAAGGCGACGAUCUGUAGCGGGUCUGAGAGGAUGAUCCGCCACACUGGGACUGAGACACGGCCCAGACUCCUACGGGAGGCAGCAGUGGGAAAUAUUGGACAAUGGGGGGAACCCUGAUCCAGCCAUGCCGCGUGUGUGAAAAAGGCCUUAUGGUUGUAAAGCACUUUAAGCGAGGAGGAGGCUCUUUUGGUUAAUACCCAAGAUGAGUGGACGUUACUCGCAGAAUAAGCACCGGCUAACUCUGUGCCAGCCGCCGCAGUAC